rnacentral:ribozyme from 1 species
UCCUGAUUCUUUUAAAGAUGAAGAUGAUCAUGGUGAUAUGCCGGCGAAUGAAGAGGAGAUGGAAGCAAUGUUUAAUGAGAUGUUAGCAGAAAUGUUUGGAUUCU